GCAACAUAAGAAAAAUUGUAGUGAAUUGGAAACGAGUUGAUUUUAAUUUUUUCAUUUUUUACAAUAUUAGUUCAAAGAAAAGUAUUGUGCGAUAACGUUACGUAUAAUAUUUGGACUCAUUCAGUGCUACCCCUUGCGUUAAUCAUCCUGAACAGAUUUUCUUUCGAAAAAACAUUUUAUGAAGUUGUUAUACAGAAGUGCGCCUGACCUAAUGUGGGCCCUUUGGAUCCUUUGGUGAUAUUCGGCGAAAUCGCCAAGAAAGUGAUUAAUUUUCUUUUCGGAGUAUAACGGCAAGGGCUAAAUAAUACCGUGUCUUUACUAACACAACCGGUAAACUCAACGAAGCUUUCCCCUGCUGUUUUCGAAACUUUUCGCUGGCCAGAACUUCGACAGGAUGUGUUCCAGGCGAGACGACGUCAGCAGGAUGUGAAGUAGAAGGAGCGCAUCAAGGGAUGGUGUCGGAUAAGUUUUAUUUUUAAAAAUCGUACAAUUACCGGUGAAGUUACAUUAGCUCUUUUCCGUGUAAAUUUACUCCAGCGCAAAAUACUAAAUAUCAACAGCACACUUGACACUUGACGUACAAAUGGGAUAGUUCUGCACUCAAAUAUACUUACGUAAGAAACAAGCAAAACCUCUCAUAUUUGAAGCGCCAAACUUGCGGUUUCCAACUUGUUAAUUUUUACUUGGAAUUCCUAACGAACGAAAAGCAACGUUCUGGUUAAUUAUGAGAUGAAGAAACAAAUAACACUAUUGAAAAAUUUUAUCAAACAGAGCUCUCGUUGAGGUAUUUUGGUUGAUUAUUGGUUAUCGUAUCUUUUGUUAUUUUUUAUGUUUAUGAUUUAGUAUAUAUUUUGAA